rnacentral:rRNA from 1 species
UACGUAGGGUGCAAGCGUUGUCCGGAAUUAUUGGGCGUAAAGAGCUCGUAGGCGGUCUGUCACGUCGGCUGUGAAAUCCCGAGGCUCAACCUCGGGUCUGCAGUCGAUACGGGCAAACUAGAGUAUUGCAGGGGAGACUGGAAUUCCUGGUGUAGCGGUGAAAUGCGCAGAUAUCAGGAGGAACACCGGUGGCGCAGGCGGGUCUCUGGGCAAUAACUGACGCUGAGGAGCGAAAGCGUGGGGAGCGAACAGG